rnacentral:rRNA from 1 species
AGAGUUUGAUCCUGGCUCAGGACGAACGCUGGCGGCGUGCUUAACACAUGCAAGUCGAACGGGCUGCCUGGUUUUCGGAUCGGGUGGUGAGUGGCGAACGGGUGAGUAACACGUGAGUAACCUGCCCCUCUCUUUGGGAUAACGUCGGGAAAUCGGCGCUAAUACCGGGUAUUCUGGCUUCCUCGCAUGGGGUUGUUGGGAAAGGUUUUUUCUGGUGGGGGAUGGGCUCGCGGCCUAUCAGCUUGUUGGUGGGGUGAUGGCCUACCAAGGCGGUGACGGGUAGCCGGCCUGAGAGGGUGUCCGGCCACACUGGGACUGAGACACGGCCCAGACUCCUACGGGAGGCAGCAGUGGGGAAUAUUGCACAAUGGGCGGAAGCCUGAUGCAGCGACGCCGCGUGGGGGAUGACGGCCUUCGGGUUGUAAACCUCUUUCAGUGCAGAACAAGGCUCUUUGUGGGUUGAGGGUAUGCGCAGAAGAAGCGCCGGCUAACUACGUGCCAGCAGCCGCGGUAAUACGUAGGGCGCGAGCGUUGUCCGGAUUUAUUGGGCGUAAAGAGCUCGUAGGCGGUUUGUCGCGUCUGCUGUGAAAUCCUCUGGCUUAACUGGGGGCGUGCAGUGGGUACGGGCAGACUGGAGUGCGGUAGGGGAGACUGGAAUUCCUGGUGUAGCGGUGGAAUGCGCAGAUAUCAGGAGGAACACCGGUGGCGAAGGCGGGUCUCUGGGCCGUUACUGACGCUGAGGAGCGAAAGCAUGGGGAGCGAACAGGAUUAGAUACCCUGGUAGUCCAUGCCGUAAACGUUGGGAACUAGGUGUGGGGUCCAUUCCACGGGUCCUGUGCCGUAGCUAACGCAUUAAGUUCCCCGCCUGGGGAGUACGGCCGCAAGGCUAAAACUCAAAUGAAUUGACGG